GAUGAACGCUGACAGAAUGCUUAACACAUGCAAGUCUUUGGCGAAGCUGUGCUUGCACAGCCUAGCCAAGGCGGACGGGUGAGUAACGCGUAAGGAACUUGCCCUGCAGUCAGGGAUAACAGACGGAAACGACUGAUAAGACCUGGUAAAGUCAGGCGGAUUCAUGUCCAGCCUGAUGAAAAGAGAUGCUGCAGGAGAGCCUUGCGUCCUAUUAGCUUGUUGGUGGGGUAACGGCCCACCAAGGCGAUGAUAGGUAGCCGGCCUGAGAGGGUGGACGGCCACAAGGGGACUGAGAUACGGCCCUUACUCCUACGGGAGGCAGCAGUGGGGAAUAUUGGACAAUGGGGGCAACCCUGAUCCAGCAAUUCUGUGUGCACGAUGAAGGUUUUCGGAUUGUAAAGUGCUUUCAGCAGGGAAGAAAAAAAUGACGGUACCUGCAGAAGAAGCGACGGCUAAAUACGUG
rnacentral:rRNA from 1 species